AGCUACGGACAUCCCACCCUGACCACACCAGAUCUCCACUGACCUCGGAAGCUAAGCAGGGUGGGGCCUGGUUAGUAUUGGAAAGUGGAAACUCAUGUGGUAAGGAACUGCAGACAACUGCAGCCA
rnacentral:rRNA from 1 species